AUUGAACGCUGGCGGCAGGCCUAACACAUGCAAGUCGAGCGGAUGAGAGGAGCUUGCUUCUCGAUUCAGCGGCGGACGGGUGAGUAAUGCCUAGGAAUCUGCCUGGUAGUGGGGGACAACGUUUCGAAAGGAACGCUAAUACCGCAUACGUCCUACGGGAGAAAGCAGGGGACCUUCGGGCCUUGCGCUAUCAGAUGAGCCUAGGUCGGAUUAGCUAGUUGGUGAGGUAAUGGCUCACCAAGGCGACGAUCCGUAACUGGUCUGAGAGGAUGAUCAGUCACACUGGAACUGAGACACGGUCCAGACUCCUACGGGAGGCAGCAGUGGGGAAGAUUGGACAAUGGGCGAAAGCCUGAUCCAGCCAUGCCGCGUGUGUGAAGAAGGUCUUCGGAUUGUAAAGCACUUUAAGUUGGGAGGAAGGGUUGUAGAUUAAUACUCUGCAAUUUUGACGUUCCCGACAGAAUAAGCACCGGCUAACUCUGUGCCAGCCGCCGCCGUAAGAC
rnacentral:rRNA from 1 species